AUAAUGGAAAAUGCAUGUCUGGUAGAGUUUAAAUAAUGCGACGAGUUUUAUGUGCACAUCGUAGCAAUCAGGAAUCUAAAAUUCGGUAUAACACAGAUAUUUCUGUACAUGCGGUAUUCCUGAUCACAGUGCAAACCAAGACCUGCACAGUUAGAAAAAAGUACCCAAACAGUAUGUACAAAGUACUCAAAAAUAGGUAAUAGACCUGCAAUCACCAUUUUGAGUAAAAAUUUGGACUGAUCGCUAAGUAAAUUUAGAUCAGAUUUGCGUUAUCCUAGAUAUACUCAAAAUUAAGUAUAAUUUAUGUUAGACGAUAUUUACGUUAUUAAUUCAAAAAAAAAAAAAAUUAGCCAGAGAAAGGAAUAUUUUUAAUCUUUUAAUUACUACUAUAGCUAACCACAAUCAAGUUUAUAAUAGAGCUAAAAAUGAUUUUGAAGUAAAAUUUAAAUUCAAUGUAAUAGCUACUAAACUAAGCUAUGAGUAAAUUUCACCUACUUUUGGGUUAGAAAAGGACUGUGCUUCCGUUAUUGCGUUUCAUUCUGCCGUGGUAAAUGAUAUCCCUACUCAUUCAUUUAUUAUUGCAAGUAACAGUGCUAGAAAGAGAGAAGUGAUGGAGACAGGUUUUGCUCAAUCAAAAGAGAAAAUUUCGCCAUCUUGUGAUGACAACCGCUGCUGUGUGCGACUGAAAACCGUCGUUGCGGUAUAAAAAACACGAUUACAUUUGAAGGAAAUAUUGCGGAAUGGAGCAGAUCAAUAAAAAAUUAGACGCUGAAAGUUACCAGAAGCUUGUGGGUCUUCGGUGCCACAUUCAAGGAUGUGACCAACUUAUCUCUGGAUAUAUUACCGAACUGAGGGACCAUUUUGUUGCAGUCCAUAAUAUCAAAACCAGCAAGAAAGCCGCGGUUUCCUUUAAGUGUUGACUGUGCGGGCUGAUUUUCAGUUAUUAUGCUGAUUUUAAAAAACAUCUCCUUAAGCAGCAUCCCAUGGAAAACAAUAUAAUGGAUUACCAAGAUGAAACGCAAUCUGAUUCACUUUCAGAAAUAGUGGCUACUGCUAAAGAUCACGACAAUCAUUUACAAACUUUGCGUAACCCGUAUUUUUGUGAUAGUAAUGCUGCCUCUCUGGAGGAGGCCUCGUCUACUAUUAUUGGUUUAGUAACAGAACUACGAUGUGACGUCUCACUCCCAGAAGUGAAAUUACAGAAGUUCAUAGCAGGGAUGACUUCGAUAUUGAACUGCACUCAAAGUUACACAGCUUCGAGAGUGAAACAGUUUAUUGAAACAAAGCAGCUGCCACUAGACGACGCAACAACUGGUUUCAUAAACUCAUUAUACAUUCCAAACUUUAUUAACGAUGUUCGCACUCCCACGGAUAACGUUGCGUAUCUUUCAUACAAAGCUGGCUGUGCUAUACCAGAGCCAAUAGAAAUCGUGUUGAGAAAAUUUACAUCUAAGAAAAAUGAUAUGUCAACCUAUAAGAGAGGAAGGAAGUUUUUGGGAAAAAUUUCUUCAAAUCAAUCUUCGCUUAAAGUUAAAGUAUAUAAGGAUAUUACGUAUUAUCUACCUAUCAUAGACACAUUGAAGUUGAUUAUGACUAACCCAGAAGCUCGUUCAAUGUUGCGAAACGAAGAACUACACACUGGUGAGUCUCUUCGGUCUUAUAAAGAUGGAAUCCAAUUCGCUAGUCAUCCAUUCUUGCAACUUCAUCCGUAUGCCGUACGGUUGUCAUUCCAUAUUGAUGAAGGCGAGUACCUGAAUCCACUUGGUUCGAGAAAAGGUUCGAAUAAGAUGACAAACGUAUACUUCAAAAUCCAGAACUUUGAUCCACGGAUAAACUCAACUUUAGAUUGAAUGUACUUGGCAUUGAUGGUGAAAUCACACAUUUUAAAAAAGUAUGGAUACGAAAAAGUGUUUCAGAAAAUCCUAGAUGACCUUCUGAUUUUGGAAUCUAACGACGGUGUAACUGUGAACAUUGUUUCAGGGCAGUGGACGUUACGCGCUGUUACAAUUAAUAUUCUUGGAGACACGUUGGCAGUUCAUGAAUUGUUCGGAUUAUUAAGUCCAUCCGCAAAUUAUUUUUGUAGAGCAUGCUUAAUAUCGAGAAAAGAUUUGCACGCCGGCUGUUAUAAGAACCAAUUCGCGAAACGGACUGUAGAACAUGUCAACUCGAGUUUGAUUAGUAUUGAAAGCAAAGACAAGAAUUUUUCCCAUUGUGGUAUUCAAGAACAAUGUGUUUUUCAUCGCCUUGAAUAUUUCCGGUGGCCAAAUAACUGCUGUUUCGAUCCCAUGCAUGAUCUGUUAGAAGGAGUGUUUCCUAUGGUACUGAAAAAUAUAUUUCGCAGAGCUGUAUACCAAGAUAAAUUACUCACCGAGGAACAAAUCAAUAAUUUGAUACAAGAAUUUGAAUACGGAGAAGCUGAAGUGACGACAAAACCAUCUUCAAACUUUACUUAUAAAAACCUAAUGCCCUCUGCCAAUCAGCUUCUCAGUUUUGGUUACUGCUUCGCGCGUUUCCAUUUAUUUUUUAUAAAAUUGUUGAUUCAAAUGAGUUUUAUCCCAAUUUAAUUUCCUCAAUGUUACAAAUAAAUUAUAUCUGCUUUUCAAACAUUAUAUCGGAUAAGAUGAUCAACGAAUUAGAAGAAGCGAUUGCUAUUUUCCAUUCUUUGUUUAAAAUUUGCUUUCCGGCAUGCAAUGCAAUAAAUAAAAUGCAUCACUUAGUGCACUAUCCGGAGAUUUGUAGGCAGAAUGGUCCAAUUGCUAAUUGCAGCUGUUUAAUGUUCGAAAGCAAAUUUAAGGAAUCCAAGGCACAGGCAAAAACCUGUUCCAAUUUCAAAAACUUAACUUAUAGUUUGUCUAAACGUCUAAGUCUAAAACAAGCAUAUAGCAUUAUAAAUCAUAAUUAUCUUCCUGAUAAUAUUGAAAUAUUAUCGGCAUCUUUUAUUGAUAAGCAUUUAAUUGAUGUAUCUACAUUACUUUUCGAUUUACCAAAUAUCAUUAACAUAUGUUCACACCUAAAAAUAAAUGGUACUCAUUUCUCACCAGGCUCGGUCAUUAAAUACAAAAGAUGCAAUCGAAAAUAUUACGGAGUAUUGUUAUCCUGCGUGAAGCAUGAAGCAAACUUUAUUUUCCUUGUACAGGAACUGAAUGAACGCGAUCUCAAUUUGUUUUAUUUUGCCAAAAAACUUUUUUUAACAAACAAUAUUGUCAGAAUAAACCAAGACAAAUUAUUUACAAAAAAAAUAUAUAGUUUGUGGAAAUCAAAUAACACUGACGAUAAUAAUUACUAUAUUAGUCUUAAGUAUAACGAUGAAUAGAAAAUACUACUUGUAUAAACAUAAAUAAUUUAAUUAAACAAUGUAAGCAUAAUAGUACCCGAAUCUGCUUAUGAAUAGUUAAAAAGCUGGUUAAACACUGGGUUUGUUUAUAAUUAUAAUUUUAACACGUUUUUUGUUGUAUUAUUUCAUUAAUAUAUUUAUGUAUAACUUUCAGAAAAUAAAAUUAGUGAUGAGUCUUUGAUGCACUUAAAUGAUGAUGAUCUGAUUGAAAUGGGCAUUCACGAGAAAGGUCCACGAAAACUGAUACUUACAUUCAUUGAGCAGAAUGAUGAAGAAUAUUUUGCGAAUGAGAACACUAAAUCCAAUUUCCAUCAAGAACAUGAGACUAUUCGCUCCAUCCUUGCCAAUGAACCAAAAUUUCAUAAAACACUUACUCGUCAACUCGAUUACAAAAUCGUUCCAAAUACUAAGGACUUGCUUCAUAUGAAUCGGAUUCUUACAAAAUACUUUUUUGAAAAACAAAUCUUACAAGAAAAAAGAUACCCAUCAGUGCAACAAAAACAGAAAUUGUCUGAACAGAUCAUAGAAGCUUUCCCACACCUGGAUCAAACACGAGUAUGCACACAGGCACCAAGAGAGUCUUUUUUUUCUGGAAAAACGGAGUAUAGGGAAAAGGGCCGCACCUCGGAAUCAUCGAAACGCGCUGUUCGAAUAUGAGAAAAGGAGUCGCUCCAGAAGAACGUUUGUUCCAGAGACCCAAGAAAGUAAACAUUAUUAUUCCUGAAGGAGUGCGCGAUAGAGCUGCGCGAUUGACUGUCAUGACCGAAAAUAUUCAGAACUACAAAACUAUCUCGGAUGAGAUGUUUCAAUGCUUUCCUCUCCAUCAAUAUUUACUACAGGACAAAAAUAAUUUAGUUCACGAAAUAGUAAUAACUUUUCCUCAUCUUCUGGGAUAU